rnacentral:tRNA from 1 species
CCGCCCCUAGCUCAACUGGAUAGAGCAUCGGACUUCGAAUCCGAAGGUUGCAGGUUCGAAUCCUGCGGGGCGGGCCA